rnacentral:rRNA from 1 species
UAGGAUGAACGCUAGCUACAGGCUUAACACAUGCAAGUCGAGGGGCAUCAGGAAGAAAGCUUGCUUUCUUUGCUGGCGACCGGCGCACGGGUGAGUAACACGUAUCCAACCUGCCCUUUACUCGGGGAUAGCCUUUCGAAAGAAAGAUUAAUACCCGAUGGCAUAAUGAUUCCGCAUGGUUUCAUUAUUAAAGGAUUCCGGUAAAGGAUGGGGAUGCGUUCCAUUAGGUUGUUGGUGAGGUAACGGCUCACCAAGCCUUCGAUGGAUAGGGGUUCUGAGAGGAAGGUCCCCCACAUUGGAACUGAGACACGGUCCAAACUCCUACGGGAGGCAGCAGUGAGGAAUAUUGGUCAAUGGGCGCUAGCCUGAACCAGCCAAGUAGCGUGAAGGAUGAAGGCUCUAUGGGUCGUAAACUUCUUUUAUAUAAGAAUAAAGUGCAGUAUGUAUACUGUUUUGUAUGUAUUAUAUGAAUAAGGAUCGGCUAACUCCGUGCCAGCAGCCGCGGUAAUACGGAGGAUCCGAGCGUUAUCCGGAUUUAUUGGGUUUAAAGGGAGCGUAGGUGGACUGGUAAGUCAGUUGUGAACGUUUGCGGCUCAACCGUAAAAUUGCAGUUGAUACUGUCAGUCUUGAGUACAGUAGAGGUGGGCGGAAUUCGUGGUGUAGCGGUGAAAUGCUUAGAUAUCACGAAGAACUCCGAUUGCGAAGGCAGCUCACUGGACUGCAACUGACACUGAUGCUCGAAAGUGUGGGUAUCAAACAGGAUUAGAUACCCUGGUAGUCCACACAGUAAACGAUGAAUACUCGCUGUUUGCGAUAUACAGUAAGCGGCCAAGCGAAAGCAUUAAGUAUUCCACCUGGGGAGUACGCCGGCAACGGUGAAACUCAAAGGAAUUGACGGGGGCCCGCACAAGCGGAGGAACAUGUGGUUUAAUUCGAUGAUACGCGAGGAACCUUACCCGGGCUUAAAUUGCAGUGGAAUGAUGUGGAAACAUGUCAGUGAGCAAUCACCGCUGUGAAGGUGCUGCAUGGUUGUCGUCAGCUCGUGCCGUGAGGUGUCGGCUUAAGUGCCAUAACGAGCGCAACCCUUAUCUUUAGUUACUAACAGGUCAUGCUGAGGACUCUAGAGAGACUGCCGUCGUAAGAUGUGAGGAAGGUGGGGAUGACGUCAAAUCAGCACGGCCCUUACGUCCGGGGCUACACACGUGUUACAAUGGGGGGUACAGAAGGCAGCUAGCGGGUGACCGUAUGCUAAUCCCAAAAUCCUCUCUCAGUUCGGAUCGAAGUCUGCAACCCGACUUCGUGAAGCUGGAUUCGCUAGUAAUCGCGCAUCAGCCACGGCGCGGUGAAUACGCUCCCGGGCCUUGUACACACCGCCCGUCAAGCCAUGGGAGUCGGGGGUACCUAAAGUACGUAACCGCAAGGAUCGUCCUAGGG